GAUGAACGCUGGCGGCGUGCCUAAUACAUGCAAGUCGAACGAGGCCCUUUGUAUUCGUAUGAAGGUGUCCUAGUGGCGAACGGGUGAGUAACACGUAGGUAACCUACCCCGAAGAGGGGGAUAACCCCGGGAAACUGGGGCUAAUACCCCAUGUGCUCCACGGUAUUAGAUAACCAUGGAGUAAAGGAGUAAUCCGCUUUGGGAGGGGCCUGCGGCCCAUCAGCUAGUUGGUAGGGUAAUGGCCUACCAAGGCGAUGACGGGUAGGGGGCCUGAGAGGGUCGGUCCCCCACACUGACACUGAAACGACGGGUCAGACACCGUACGGGUGGCAGCAGGUAGGGAAUAUUCGACCCAAUGGACGAAAGUCUGAGGCAGCAACGCCGCGUGCGCGAUGAAGGCCGUUCGGGUUGUAAAGCGUCUUUUCUGGGGGAAGAGAAAGGACGGUACCCCAGGAAUAAGUCUCGGCUAACUACGUG
rnacentral:rRNA from 1 species